UGGCGGACGGGUGAGAAACACGUGGGCAACCUGCCUCAAAGAGAGGAAUAGCCCUCCGAAAGGAGGAUUAAUACCGCAUAAAGUUAGAGUUUCGCAUGAAACUUUAACCAAAGGAGUAAUCCGCUUUGAGAUGGGCCCGCGUCCCAUUAGCUAGUUGGUAGGGUAAUGGCUUACCAAGGCAACGAUGGGUAGCCGACCUGAGAGGGUGAUCGGCCACAUUGGAACUGAGACACGGUCCAGACUCCUACGGGAGGCAGCAGUGGGGAAUAUUGCGCAAUGGGGGAAACCCUGACGCAGCAACGCCGCGUGGGUGAUGAAGGUUUUCGGAUCGUAAAACCCUGUUUUCUGGGACGAUAAUGACGGUACCAGAUGAGGAAGCCACGGCUAACUACGCGCCAGCAGCCGCGGUAAU
rnacentral:rRNA from 1 species